rnacentral:rRNA from 1 species
AGAGCGAACGCUGGCGGCAGGCUUAACACAUGCAAGUCGAGCGCCCCGCAAGGGGGAGCGGCAGACGGGUGAGUAACGCGUGGGAACGUACCUUUGGUUCGGAACAACACAGGGAAACUUGUGCUAAUACCGGAUAAGCCCUUACGGGGAAAGAUUUAUCGCCGAAAGAUCGGCCCGCGUCUGAUUAGCUAGUUGGUGAGGUAACGGCUCACCAAGGCGACGAUCAGUAGCUGGUCUGAGAGGAUGAUCAGCCACAUUGGGACUGAGACACGGCCCAAACUCCUACGGGAGGCAGCAGUGGGGAAUAUUGGACAAUGGGCGCAAGCCUGAUCCAGCCAUGCCGCGUGAGUGAUGAAGGCCCUAGGGUUGUAAAGCUCUUUUAACGGGGAGAUAAUGACGGUACCGUAGAAUACGCCCGGCUAACGUUCGUGCCAGCAGCCGC